AGUGAACGCUGGCGGUAGGCCUAACACAUGCAAGUCGAACGGCAGCACAGGAGAGCUUGCUCUCUGGGUGGCGAGUGGCGGACGGGUGAGGAAUACAUCGGAAUCUACUCUGUCGUGGGGGAUAACGUAGGGAAACUUACGCUAAUACCGCAUACGACCUACGGGUGAAAGCAGGGGAUCUUCGGACCUUGCGCGAUUGAAUGAGCCGAUGUCGGAUUAGCUAGUUGGCGGGGUAAAGGCCCACCAAGGCGGCGAUCCGUAGCUGGUCUGAGAGGAUGAUCAGACACACUGGAACUGAGACACGGUCCAGACUCCUACGGGAGGCAGCAGUGGGGAAUAUUGGACAAUGGGCGCAAGCCUGAUCCAGCCAUACCGCAUGGGUGAAGAAGGCCUUCGGGUUGUAAAGCCCUUUUGUUGGGAAAGAAAUCCAGCUGGCUAAUACCCGGUUGGGAUGACGGUACCCAAAGAAUAAGCACCGGCUAACUUCGUGCCAGCAGCCGCAGUAA
rnacentral:rRNA from 1 species